rnacentral:rRNA from 1 species
UUUCCACGGAUUCUGCGCCGUAGCUAACGCAUUAAGUGCCCCGCCUGGGGAGUACGGCCGCAAGGCUAAAACUCAAAGAAAUUGACGGGGGCCCGCACAAGCGGCGGAGCAUGCGGAUUAAUUCGAUGCAACGCGAAGAACCUUACCAAGGCUUGACAUACACUGCGACAUGCCGAGAUGGUGUGGGCUGGAUGCUGCAUGAUCCCA